GUUCGACCAUCGUUGCAAGACGUGGAUCACGACGCGGAAUGUCUGCAGGACGCGGUG
rnacentral:ribozyme from 1 species